rnacentral:rRNA from 1 species
AUUGAACGCUGGCGGAAUGCUUUACACAUGCAAGUCGAACGGUAGAGGGGGCAACCCCUCGAGAGUGGCGAACGGGUGAGUAAUAUAGCGGAACGUGCCCAGUCGUGGGGGAUAACGUAGCGAAAGUUACGCUAAUACCGCAUACGAUCUAAGGAUGAAAGCGGGGGAUCGCAAGACCUCGCGCGAUUGGAGCGGCCGAUAUCAGAUUAGGUAGUUGGUGGGGUAAGGGCUCACCAAGCCAACGAUCUGUAGCUGGUCUGAGAGGACGACCAGCCACACUGGAACUGAGACACGGUCCAGACUCCUACGGGAGGCAGCAGUGGGGAAUUUUGGACAAUGGACGCAAGUCUGAUCCAGCCAUUCCGCGUGCAGGAUGAAGGCCCUCGGGUUGUAAACUGCUUUUGUACGGAACGAAAAGGUCUCUCUUAAUACGGGGGACUCAUGACGGUACCGUAAGAAUAAGCACCGGCUAACUACGUGCCAGCAGCCGCCGUAA